CAAUAAUACAUCAAAAUGUAUUUUAAAAUAAAAUAUCACAUACCCUCAUUUUCAGUGUAUAAAAUUAACUACAAAACACAUUAGAUUCACCAUGUCAAAUAA